rnacentral:misc_RNA from 1 species
UUUCCGUAGGUGAACCUGCGGAAGGAUCAUUAACGCGUAAGGGUCAUUCUGGCCCGACCUCCAGCCCUUUGUUUAAUUACUAUGUUGCUUUAACGGGGUCUUUUCAUGACCUCCGGAAGUCCUCUGUCUUCUCGCCCGUGCCCGCCAAUAUCCUUCUCCAAACUCUUGAUCAAUUGUGAUGUCUGAGUAAUAAAUUUAAUAGUUAAAACUGUCAACAACGGAUCUCUUGGUUCUG